CAUGGCAAUAGCUGAUCUUUCUUGGGACGUAGAGCGCGCUCAAGUGGUUGAUUUUACGUACCCUGUUUUCUACGAAACCACAAAAUUCAUUUACAAGUCACCUUAAUUUUUUAAGUCGUGCCUGGAUUCUCUUUGAACCUUACUCAACAAAGCUCUGGAUCACGCUAGUUUUCAUCAUGUUAGUUUUGGGAAUUGUCAUCUUUCUCCUCACCCUUGUGUAUAGCAAUAUCUCAGAAAAUAAAACACCAUCUGUGAUAGAACUUGUCGGUCAAUGCUUGGAAAACUCGUAUCGACAACUUGUUAUCCAAGGGUGUGCUUGGUUGCCGGAAACAGCGAGUUCUAGAGUAGUAAUGGCCGUUUGGUGGUUUGCUAUGGUGAUUUUCAGCGCUGUCUACAGUGGAAAUCUAACGUCUACUUUAAGUCUUAAGAAAACUGAAAGUCCAACGAAUACCUUAGAAAGUUUCACUGAAAAGUAUCCUUCAUUCCAGCUAGCUGUAACAAAUGGAUCUUUGGCUCAUAGUUACUUCAAGAGGUCCGAGUAUUUUAAAACAAUCUGGGAAACCAAUAUUCAGUACGGUGUUCUGAAUCUAAAAGUUGACAGCAUUAUGAAGCUUGUGAGGAACGGCUCU